UCGGACAUCAGGAGGUUAGUGCAAUGGCAUAAGCCAGCUUGACUGCGAGCGUGACGGCGCGAGCAGGUGCGAAAGCAGGUCAUAGUGAUCCGGUGGUUCUGAAUGGAAGGGCCAUCGCUCAACGGAUAAAAGGUACUCCGGGGAUAACAGGCUGAUACCGCCCAAGAGUUCAUAUCGACGGCGGUGUUUGGCACCUCGAUGUCGGCUCAUCACAUCCUGGGGCUGAAGUAGGUCCCAAGGGUAUGGCUGUUCGCCAUUUAAAGUGGUACGCGAGCUGGGUUUAGAACGUCGUGAGACAGUUCGGUCCCUAUCUGCCGUGGGCGCUGGAGAACUGAGGGGGGCUGCUCCUAGUACGAGAGGACCGGAGUGGACGCAUCACUGGUGUUCGGGUUGUCAUGCCAAUGGCACUGCCCGGUAGCUAAAUGCGGAAGAGAUAAGUGCUGAAAGCAUCUAAGCACGAAACUUGCCCCGAGAUGAGUUCUCCCUGAGACUUAGAGUCUCCUGAAGGAACGUUGAAGACGACGACGUUGAUAGGCCGGGUGUGUAAGCGCAGCGAUGCGUUGAGCUAACCGGUACUAAUGAACCGUGAGGCUUAACCUUACAACGCCGAAG
rnacentral:rRNA from 1 species